rnacentral:rRNA from 1 species
UCGACGCAGUAGCAAUACUGAGUGGCAAACGGGUGAGUAUAAUGUGGGAAUCUGCCUUUUGGUUUGGAAUAACACGGGGAAACUUGUGCUAAUACCGAAUAAGCCUUUACAGGGAAAGUUUUAACGCCGAAAGAUGAGCCCGCACUUGAUUAGCUAGUUGGUAAGGUAAAAGCUUACCAAGGCAAUGAUCAAUAGCUGUUCUUAGAGGAAGACCAGCCACAUUGGGACUGAGACACGGCCCAGACUCCUACGGGAGGCAGCAGUGGGGAAUCGUGCACAAUGGGGGAAACCCUGAUGCAGCGAUGCCGCGUGAGUGAAGAAGGCCUUUGGGUUGUAAAACUCUUUCGUCGGGGAAGAAAAUGACUGUACCCGAAUAAGAAGGUCCGGCUAACUUCGUGCCAGCAGCCGCGGUAAUACGAAGGGACCUAGCGUAGUUCGGAAUUACUGGGCUUAAAGAGCUCGUAGGUGGUUAAAAAAGUUGAUGGUGAAAUCCCAAGGCUCAACCUUGGAACUGCCAUCAGAACUUUUUAGCUAGAGUGUGAUAGAGGUAAGUGGAAUUUCUAGUGUAGAGGUGAAAUUCGUAGAUAUUAGAAAGAACACCAAAUGCGAAGGCAACUUACUGGGUCACUACUGACACUGAGGAGCGAAAGCAUGGGUAGCGAAGAGGAUUAGAUACCCUCGUAGUCCAUGCCGUANACGAUGUGUGCUAGACGUUGGAAAUAUAUUUUUCAGUGUCGCAGCGAAAGCAUUAAGCACACCGCCUGGGGAGUACGACCGCAAGGUU